rnacentral:lncRNA from 1 species
AAUAACAAUAAUUUAUUUUAUUAAAGUGUCACAUACUUGUCUACAGAUUUUUAUACAGAUUAUAUAAUAUACAUUGCACAAUAAUAAAAUAAGACAAAUACCCAGCCUAGAAAGGCUUAUGAGACACUAUAUAUACAAAUAUAUAUCUAUUUAACAAAUACAAAUUGAAAAACAUAAUAAAAUGUUAAAAAUGUUUAAAAUUAUCCGGAUAUUUCAC